UUUUCCAAUUAACUUAACCGAGUUAACAAUAUCCAUAAAUUUGCCUAGCCUACAGACUCCGAAUAUAUAGUCUACUCAAUGUGUUAUUUUCAAAUAAGGAAUAGUAUAAUAGGAAUAGUACCUGUAUCAAAACUGAGAAUAAUAUAUUAUAAUUAUAACUGCAGUAAUAUUUAGCCGACUCCCUAAGGUUUCCCAAGAGGAUUAUUAUUGUGAUAAUAAUUUAUAAAUUGAAAAUCUACCGAGUUUCGUACAAUCAUACGAAUUUAUAUAUGGUA